rnacentral:misc_RNA from 1 species
GCUGCCAUCUUUAGUUUUCGAUGGAUGUUUUCCGUAGAGAUCGCGAAUAUCUCGCUAUUUAUCGCGGUAAAUAAUAAAUCAAUUAAACUGAUAAAAUAACGGUCGAGUUUAUCGCGAUGUAACGAGUGUAAUAGAGUUCAGUAAUAAAGCUGCCCCGGUGUUAUUAGUCACAAAAAAUGAUUGUGUUUACAUUCAAGUUUGAAGUGAGCUUCUGUAUUCCUGUCACAUUAAGCAUAUGGUCGAAAGUUCUCAAAUAGCGCAGGAGGUUUAUCGGAUCGGCGGGUCGGAAGGGGCUGUUAAGGAUACGGAGUCGAGGAGGAUAUCGUCGGUGGGAAGGGCCCCGAUCAUCUCGGGGUUGGAAUUUCGAUCAGCAACGCAUCGUCAAAGGCCUUCAAGACGUCGACCCCGUCGGUUAUCAAGUUAACGGGGGCUGGUGGGCCGGUUGGAGGAGGAAGAGGAAGUGGGAGCGGUGGCGCAGUAUCGAGUGAAGAAAAGUUGUCUGGCGGAGGGCAAAGUUGCGGGGGAUCGACGGGUUCGUCAGGAGGAGUAGCGAUAGUGGUACCAGCGAUUGGUACGGCAGUUUCGAGCGUUGUAACUCGUGACAAGUGCAUCGGUAGCAGCGAUGCUGCCAAUUUAUCGGACAAUAUUAACGUCACGGUCACAGGAAGCAACGUUAUCGACUACGCCGUUGCGAAACCGGCGGAGGCGACCAGUAUGAGUUUCGUUUUACAGUUGGAGAGCAAUGCCGACGAGCGGGAUCACAAAAAUGUUAAUAUUCCGAGCAACGAUUCGAAGGGAAGGACGAGCUCGAGCGCGGAAGUCGUGCCGACGUCGGCGACGUCUUCCUCAUCGUUAUCGUCAACGUCAGCAGCGGUGUUACAAAUAGCGCGGGAUACAACAACGGUGGUUGAGACUAGCGCUUGUUUGUCCGGCGGCAAAUUGCCAGUAGUUUAUCCGGGCAGCAAUCAGCAAUCGAGAAUCAGUCAGAUUUUACAGAAUCCUAAAAAUCUAGCGAUUCCGACGUGCAACAAUGCAGGCACGGCUGUCCUAACCGGCGGAGUUUCCAGUAACAAUAAUAAGCAGUCGGGACAAGCGACGCUCGUUUAUUCCGCGGGCAGAACGGCCAAGGAAGUCCCGAAAGUCGCGUGUCAACAAACAACGAACACGACUCAGGCGCUGACGACGCGCGUCGUCUCACAAAAGUUGCCGACCGGUGGAAAUAUUCAGCAAUUCGUCAAUGCUAAUGCGAGCUCCUGCAUCAACGCUGUCGUCAACAGCGCUGUCAUAUCCUCCACGAAUUCGCUGUCCGUUGGAGGGAACGUCUGUCAAAGCGGCAUGAAGGCCACGCUGACACCGACCGGCAACAAUCUCGUAUGCCCUUCGCUGAGCCAGGCUCAGAUUGCCGCCGCCGUAUGUACGCAAAAUUCCAAUCAAUCGGUCAAGCUGACCAGCGCUAAUUUCGAAACUUUACAAUGUAACAAAAGUUCCCAACAGCAAACGACGAUGGCGACCCUAACUGCGGUAACUCAAGGCUCAGGGGUGCAGCAGAAAUUGCAACAAGUGCCGGUACAACACGUGGUCGGUAGCCUCGCCGGAAUAAAAUCAAUCAACGCUAUCGGCUCGUUGCAGAAUAUUCACAGGAUACAGGUGAAAACUGCUCAGGGCGUGCCGAUAACAGGUGCUUUGGCUGGAUCCCAAACGAUGAAUUUUCAAAAGCUCAAAAGUAUCAGUGGCCCUCCGAACAAUCAACAGGUUAACGUCCAGCGAACACCAGUUUCUCGUGUACUCACGCAAACUAAAUCGCAACAAGCGUCGCUCACUUCUUCGGCUCAAUCCACCAGUCAACAAAUCACCAUGAACCAGGCAAUGAGCAACGCGAGUAUGCAGCGAGUUCAACAGUUACCCGCGGUUCAGGGAAAAACCGUUGUGAACAAAUCUUCGAAUCAACCGCAGCAGCAGCAACAGCAGCAGCAGCAGCAACAACAAAUAUUUACGAAUCAAAAAGUUGUGCAGGGACAAAUUUUAAUGAACGCAUCGAACCAUUCGAAUCAGAAAUUACACCAGGUCCCACCGGUACAACAAAUCUCGUCUCAGCAACAAACAACGAGCCAACAGCAACAAGUCAGUCAGCCUCAACAGAUUAAUCAACAGACUCAAGUUAUUCAACACAAGUUGCCGCCUGUUUUGCCUCAGAAAACACAGGUCGUUCAAAAGCAGCAGCAACAUUUACUCGUCGGUGCUCUCAACAACGUCCAAAAAUCUUCUGUCCCAGCUGUGCCGAGCUCAACCCCGAAAAACAAUGUUGCUCAACCAGGUUUACCUGCCCACAUGACGAAUCAGCAACCGGUGCAGAAACACGCCGGAGUUGCACAAAACGCAGCGCAGCAGUCGAGGCCACAGGGAGUUGCGGCUAAUUCUCAAAAGUCUCAAUCAACGCCUGUUCAGCGCGUUGGCACAGCUCAGACAACUGUUGUCACCAAUGUUCCACAAAAAGCUGGCCCGAUUACGAAUUUGCCCGGCGGUAAUCAAAGAAAUCAGAGCAUUGGCGGUACCAAAAUUCAACAGCCCCAGCAACAGCAGCAACAAAUGAUAAUGAGAGUCGGGCCAACGAAAAAUCCCCAAAAUAUGAAUGCCGGCAGUUUGAAAAACAUCUCACAAAAAACGACCAACAUCGUUAAGGCCGGAAACCAACCGGGUGUCGUCCAAGCUACCCCGAAUCGAAACUUGAAUGCCCAAACCUUGAAAAUCAUUCAGCAGUCCCAGCAAAAUCAACAGUUGCAGCAACAAGCUCUCCACGUCGCACAGCCCCCACAGCAACAACAGCAACAAUGUUCUGUGAUGCCAGGAGGCCAACCGAUUCCCCAAAAAUUACCAGGUUGCAUAAAAACUAUACCCCCACAAAAACCACCGACCCAGCGAAACAACGCGCAACAGAAAAUCACCGGUAUUAAAACUUCACUCAACACCAAUAUGAGCGCUCUCAAAGUCCAGUCCCAAAAUGUUACGAUGCCCCAAAAAUCGACCAUCAGGACGCUUCUGCCUCAACAACAAUCAGCUGUCGCUAAUAUGAUGCUUCACAAGAAUCAAACUGUCAAAAUACAGCAGCAAAAUAUUCAACAAAAACAAAUGAUCCUGGCGCCUCAGUAUUCUCAACAAAUACGGCCGCAGACCGGACAAAUUAAAACUUUGGUACCGGUCACAACGACGGAGUCUCGAAAGGAAUUGGACAUCAAAAACGAAAUGGAAUCUCACUCUGCGAAGGACGAGGACAUCCAAUCACAGGCGCUGCAGUCGCCCGUACGAAGGAUGCCCUUGCCGUAUGAGUGUCUCCAGUUUGUCCUACAAGACCACAACUACGGUGCACCACCUCCGAGAACACCGCCACCCGCGUCACCGCCACCUCAUCCGAAGCAACAACCGAUAAACGGUGCGGGUGCAUCGACUGUGACACUGCAACAUCCUUUUAUCUACUCGCAAGCUGUAAGUGGCAGUAACGCAGUGGACGAUGCAGCGAGUGCGAUCAGUAGCGAAGCAGGUCGAGAGGCCGAACCGGAGGGCGAAGAGACGGAAACAGCACCGGAAGGCGAGGGUGAUGAUGAGGACAGUGUGACUCGCUGCAUAUGUGAAUUCGAGCACGAUGACGGUUACAUGAUUUGCUGCGAUCGCUGCCUUGUAUGGCAGCACGUGGAUUGCAUGGGAAUAGAUCGAUCGAACAUUCCGGAAGAAUAUCUAUGCGAGAUAUGUCGACCCCGCCGAGUGGACCGUCAACGAGCACGAGGUUUGCAGAUGCGAAAGCGAGAGGAGCUUCUGAAUUCGGACACGUCAUCGGACGCUUCAUCGACGAGUUCUGCGGACACGGAUGUCGCGGUGAACACUGGCCCGAAAAAGCGUAACGUUCAGCAACACCAGCAGCAGCAACAACAGCAACAAGCGCAACAGCAACAUCAGCAACAACAACAACAGCAGCAGCAGCAGCAGCAACAACAACAAACGCAGCAACAGCAGCAGCAGCAACAACAACAACAACAAGCGCACCAACAUCAACAACAGCAGCAACAAGUGGCACGAAGAAAAUCUGAUCCACCACCUCAGUUGCGUCGAUUGAACAAUAACAACAACAAUAAUAACAAUAACGUUGCCAAGCGACAAAGACGCGAGCAAAAUCCUCGGCAAACGAGCGCUGUGCGUAAGAAAGAAACGGCUAAACGUGGCCCCGGUAAACGAAAAGUCAAGAGACGCAUGAGCCUCGACGAUCGAGAAGAAGAAACACAAGAUGCUUGGGGCUCGAAUAUGGCGCCCCUCCGACAAUGGAUCGAGAGAUACGAGGAAGCUGUUACGAAUCAUUACAGCCCCGAAUUGAGAGCCAGAAUAUCCAGCAUCAAAGUUAACGGAACUCACAACGAUCUUAAACAGGGCAACAUGAACGUUGUUGCCACGGGCAAGUGUAGACUCAACGUCCAUAGCAACAAUCUUAGGUUUCUCGUGGCAACGAUGUAUCUGCCGCCCAACACGCCGGUGCUAGAGUUACGUGGAAAGUACAUGCUCAGCACGCAGCACAGGCCGUCUCAUCCGCAGGGUCGACAACAUGCCCAGAGGCCGGGUCCUUUUGUAUUUUUUUAUCGUUUACCACGAGACGGUACCGAAGUGUGCGUGGAUACGCGAACGUAUGGAAACGACGCGAGAUUCGUUCGUCGAAGUUGUAAACCAAACGCGGAAGUGAAGCAUUGUAUUGAGAAGGGAACGCUCCACCUUUACAUUGUAACGAGUUCGGCGAUCGAGAAGAACGUAGAAAUAACCAUUCGUCAUGAGCAACAUGAUCUAAUGCUGUCGCCAAAUCCGAACGCGACUGCGGUAAUGCCGCUUGUUUGUGCUUGCAACAAUCCGCGUUCGUGUCAGAUCGCCGCGACCGCCGGACAACUGACAACUCGACGAGGAAGCAACGGCGCCCUCGCGGAAAACGCUGACGGCCGGGAGAGGAGACGACGAGGUCGUAGAAAUACCGUUUGCGAGGACAGCGAUUCGUUGUCGACUCUGUCGUCGACGAGUAUCACGCCCACCACGAGUACAACUACGCCGCAGACGACGUCCACGGUUCAGCCGCGUCGUACAGCGACUGUUGUCACGAGCGUACCCACUCCGACGGCGACGGUAACUCGUCCGAAUCCCAAGGAAGAAGUCGUGCCGGUUCCGCAGCAACGGCAAGCUUCACCCUUGAGAACAGCGACGACGCAAGCACCCCAAACGCAACAGCAGCAACAACCUCAACCACAACAGCAAACGCAGCAACCGGUGACGCAGCAACAACCUCAACCAGCUCCGCAGGAACCAACACCCGCGACUCCAACGGUCACAACUCCCGCCGUCGUAACACCGAGCCAACCUCCUCAAGAAUCUAAAAAGGACAAGAAAAAAAUGACUCGCGAGGAACGCAAGAUGGAAGCUAUCAUGAAAGCUUUCGAGAGGAUGGAAAAAGCUGAGCAGAGAAAGCAAGAAGUACAGGCGAGAAACGCUCAGCGCAAAGAAUCCGGUGGUACGCACAGUGACAACGACGAACGCGAGAGUGUUUUGCAUCACGUUGCUAAAUCGAAGCACACCAUCGAACGACCCAUCCGUCGAAAGCGGCGGAAGGGUAGAGCGAGAACCACCAGCAGCUCACACUCCCAAAACAGCAAUCGGAGAACCCGCUUGAAUUCGGCCGAUUCGGACCUCUCCUCCGGCGAAGAAAGCUCCACUAUGCAAUCCCCACCGUCAUCCAGUCAACACAUGUGCUUACCGACUCGGGAUACAUCCUCCUAUUCACCCCGGUUGUUGCACACCCCCACCAAGGAUUCCGACAACGACCCUCUCGCUCGCGAUAGCAAUCAAACCAUACCGACCGCCGCCGGACUUUUGCUCGCUCUCGCCAAUUCCUCCGCGGUCCCUGGACCCAGUUCACCGACUCUCCAACAAGUCGCUCCCAUCAAGAGUCCAACCUGCGACAGUGGCGCGAGUAGCAGCUCCCAAAGCUCAACUCCGUCCACGCCACUCUCCUCGGCUUGCCUCCUCGUCGCAGCCGCCGUUGGACCUCUCGCUCCGGGCUUCAAAUUUCCAAAAACUAAAAAAGUACUCAUGAACGAGUGGCUCAAGGAAUCGCCCGACCCUCCCCAAGCCCAUGCCCAAACAUCCGGCGUCUCUUCGCCUCCGGCCACUAUUCAGAACACCAACGCUUCUACCCUCGCCAACAAUCCCGCCGCGACAAAACCAACCGACUUUUUGUCUCCCACCGAUCCAUCCUCGGAGUUUUUGACACAAAGUUACGCCGCCAAGGGACUGGCUACUCUCGUUCAAGCCGCUAAUUCCGUUUCCGGUAUUAUCGAUUCACCUCCUCAACGGAAACAAACCGCUAACACAAACUCCGCUUGUCCUGUUUCUUCCGGAUCCGCUAAGAAGCGGUGGCUCCGUCAAGCCAUCUCCGAAGAAUGCGACUCGCCCAACAGCAGGCCUGAAAGUCCUCCCAAUGAAAUUGUCGCUGCUCCGCCCAAAAAACGACGCAUCGCCAGGGAAAGCUUGUCCUCCGAUAAUUAUACUCCACCAACUACACCGACGCUUCUCGCUCCAGACUCUACGAACGCGAACUCGACCCUCUCCAAUAACGAGCAUGAUUUCAUCGAUCAUCCACAAUCGCCAGUUUCGGUGGAAGGAAGAGUCCGCAUGGACUUUGAGUCCGAAUCGAUAAAGGAGGAGACAAAUUUCGAAUCGGAAAAAAUGAUUUUUUCGGAGAACAAGACAAAGUCGCGGAUAACGACGGUCGAGGCGGUCGUGGUGAAGAAAGAAAUCGAUACGGAAAUUCGAGAAACAAAAUCGACAGUCGCAACAGUAAAAGUCGAGACCGAGGAGAUGAUGAAGGUAGAUUCAAAAAAUUUGUUAAAAACGGAGCCGAUGGAUACGAAGGAAGGAUUGGAUGUGAAAUCGUCGGUUGUUAUUAAAACAGAGACAAAAGUAUCGUUAAAGCGAGAGCACGAGCCCGACGAAAUGCCCGUGAAAUCUGAAAAUUCGUUCAUCACGAGUGUCAAACGAAAACCGUUGAUAAAAAGAGAAACGAGAUCACCGGAAAUUGAAAAAGGAACGGUGGAGAUCAUCGAUCAGAACGAGCCGGACACAGAAAUGGAAGAUCUCAGUUCGCCGAUCGCUGCGAUGGAAUCCGACGCUGAGCUGAAGCAACGAGUCGCCGAAAUGAGGCUCGAGUUCGGUGGCAGUGUCGCCGAGAUUGUCAGCAUAGCCAGUGAGAAUGAGAAAUCGGACGACGACGCUCGAGAGCCAACGAUUUACGAGCGAUCGCAAGACGUUCGUUCGGAAGAUAAUGCAUCGAUCGACGAGUUUGACGUCGAGGCGCAGAUGAAAAAAAUCACGGGUGACGAUGGAAACGACUACAAGGAAAAAAUUGACACGAGCUCGGAGCGUGACAAUAAAAGCAUGGACGGGAUCGAGGGUCUGAUGGAAAGUUCGAAAGAAGAUUCGGACUCGGACGAUCAUGACAUCGAGGACCUCAAGUACAACGAAGCGUCGCCGAAGUUCCGUGCUUUCGAGGAAAGUUUACCGGUGGAAGAACGUAGAUUCAAGGAAUUCGAGAGUACUCGAGAACCCAAAGACGCGCCUGACGACGCGACCGUUGACGACUCGUUUGGAACAGCGACGAAAGUUGAACCCAUCAAACCGGAAGUCAGUCAAACUGUUUCUUUAGGAUCUUCCGAAGAAUCAAUGUUCGACUCGGUCUCUUCGAGCAUGGACAUGGCGAUGGAAAACGUCGCUUCUGCCGAUGAUCCCAAGAUUUUUCAAUCGAUUCCACCACUCAGCGAGCGUAUAAGAAAAAAACCCGAGUCCACGGGCAUGUCGAAGAAACAACUUGAGCUCGUUGAAGCCGCCAUAAUCGAAUCGACGAUCGAUCUUGAAUCGAGUGAAAUAUCGGAAAAUGGCGAUGACAAAAGCAUCAUGUCAACCGCACUCAGGAAUCUACUCGGAUCUAAAAUCGACGAUGACACGACGCCCAAAUUGACCAACGAAAACGAUCUUACAGAAAGCAUCAAUCCUCCGCCCUUGUGCGACAGACUCGAGGAAUUUAUAGUCGCUAGUGCACCUGAUACCACCAUCAUACACGUCCCAAAUGACAAACCAGUCGCAGACAACCCCACGAAAGAAGAAGAAAUUCCGCAACCUGAAAUUCGAAGACUUAAAGAUCCGAGAACAGUUGUGCCUAACGAGAUGCCAGCGCCACCUCCUUUCAAACCAGACGUUCCAACCCCAGUCAAGCGCAAGGUUAGAACGCUCUCCAUAUCGGAAUACAGAAAAAGGAAGCAACAAUCGUCCGGUACACCACCAGAGCCUGAGCCCUCGAACGAUCCUUCGUCCUCGGAGAAGAGUGCGUCUCGCGGAAGAUCCGAUAGCGCUAGCAGCGGCACAUCGUCGUUGAGUUCAGACGAAGAAAUUUCGAAAGCAGCCCUUGAUUUGCCCAGUUUAACGACGCUCCCCCUAUUUGCUAACAACGAGGCCGAAGAACGCAAAGUGUACCCGCAGGUGGUGAAGAAGGCACCAUCGGUUGGUCGGCCGCCCCAACCCUCGUCGAAAGACAACGCGAAAAUCUUACCGAGAGAUUGAAACGGGAGUUUGGUCUGUUUCUCAGCGACGAUGAGGAGGAACGAGCGCGAAAACAAGGUUUGACGGCCGAGGCUAUAUUAAAAGCUCGUAAAGCUGGAUCGCCCCCGCAGCCUGUGAUACCGGGAGUUUUGUCGGCGUAUCCAUUGCCUCAGUUGCCACCACAGCCUUACAUACCACCGCCGGGGUCGGCAGC